UACGGAGGGGGCUAGCGUUGUUCGGAAUUACUGGGCGUAAAGCGCACGUAGGCGGCAUUGCAAGUCGGGUGUGAAAGCCCCGGGCUCAACCUGGGAAGUGCACUCGAAACUGCUUGGCUUGAGUACUGGAGAGGGAAGCGGAAUUCUCGGUGUAGAGGUGAAAUUCGUAGAUAUCGAGAGGAACACCGGUGGCGAAGGCGGCUUCCUGGACAGUUACUGACGCUGAGACGCGAAAGCGUGGGGAGCAAACAGG
rnacentral:rRNA from 1 species